GCCGGGUGUGGUGGCGUGCACCUGUAGUCCCAGCUACUCGGGAGGCUGAGGCAGGAGAAUCGCUUGAACCCAGGAGGCAGAAAUUGCAGUGAGUCAAAAUCGCACCACUGUGCUCCAGCCUGGGUGCCAGAGCGAGACUCUGUCUCAA
rfam:Gorilla gorilla gorilla genomic chromosome, chr19, whole genome shotgun sequence